GAUGAACGCUAGCUACAGGCUUAACACAUGCAAGUCGAGGGGAAACGAUAUUGGAAGCUUGCUUCCGAUAGGCGUCGACCGGCGCACGGGUGAGUAACGCGUAUCCAACCUGCCCACCACUUGGGGAUAACCUUGCGAAAGUAAGAAUAAUACCCAAUGAUGUCCAUAGAAGAUAUCUGAAAUGGAUUAAAGAUUUAUCGGUGAUGGAUGGGGAUGCGUCUGAUUAGCUUGUUGGCGGGGUAACGGCCCACCAAGGCGACGAUCAGUAGGGGUUCUGAGAGGAAGGUCCCCCACAUUGGAACUGAGACACGGUCCAAACUCCUACGGGAGGAAGCAGUGAGGAAUAUUGGUCAAUGGGCGAGAGCCUGAACCAGCCAAGUAGCGUGCAGGAUGACGGCCCUAUGGGUUGUAAACUGCUUUUAUAAGGGAAUAAAGUGAGCCUCGUGAGGCUUUUUGCAUGUACCUUAUGAAUAAGGACCGGCUAAUUCCGUGCCAGCCGCCGCGGUAA
rnacentral:rRNA from 1 species